GACGAACGCUGGCGGCGUGCUUAACACAUGCAAGUCGAACGAUGAAACCUAGCUUGCUAGGUCGAUUAGUGGCGAACGGGUGAGUAACACGUGACUAACCUGCCCCUUUCUCUGGGAUAACGCUCCGAAAGGAGUGCUAAUACCGGAUACUCACACCGAGGCACAUGCCUUGGUGUGGAAAGUUUUUCGGAAAGGGAUGGAGUCGCGGCCUAUCAGCUUGUUGGUGAGGUAACGGCUCACCAAGGCGACGACGGGUAGCCGGCCUGAGAGGGCGACCGGCCACACUGGGACUGAGACACGGCACAGACUCCUACGGGAGGCAGCAGUGGGGAAUAUUGCACAAUGGGCGCAAGCCUGAUGCAGCGACGCCGCGUGAGGGAUGAAGGUCUUCGGAUUGUAAACCUCUCUCAGUAGGGACGAAGCGAAAGUGACGGUACCUAAAGAAGAAGCACCGGCUAACUACGUGCCAGCAGCCGCCGUAA
rnacentral:rRNA from 1 species